rnacentral:lncRNA from 1 species
AAAACGUGCAAAGGUAAAUAAAACCAUAGAAUAGAUAUGUAUAACUCCUUGUACGUAAUUAAACAUAUUAAAAUUUAUCCCUAAAUCUGGUGAUUACAUCAAUUAAAGAGAUUUAGUUAUUGAUUUUGGAGAGUAAGGUUUCAUAUGUUUGUCAAGCAUAAUGUAAUAACAUAUUACCAUGAGAAAUUGAAAUGUUUCAAAUACCUUUCAAAUAAUUCUUGCUUGUACAAUCUUGUUUUUAUUAAGAAACCUUUGACUUUUCUGUACUGAUCAUCUAUUUUCUUGUUCCUGUCCUAUUAUUUUCAGAGCUUUACUCCUCCUUGGUACAAGGAAGGCUGGCAUGAUCAUCCACUUCACAUUAGAGGGUGUCUUAUCCACCAGUGUGCUGACACCAAGCAGGAAUUUCCAAGUAGAGAGCAGACUCCCUGUAGUCACAUGUCCCUGGUGAAAAUUGCUUCAUCAUUCUUCAGAAGGAAAAAAAUAAAAAGAAGAAGCAGAUUCUCUUCAGAAUCCUCUAUUCUCAGAAUGACUAGACAGAACUUUAUGCCAAAAUUCUUGCUCAUCUUCCUAUCUUCUAGUUCCAUAAAUAAAAAUAAAAUGUUAAUAAAUGGAUAAAAUUGU